GUAGCGGCGCUGAGAAGCGAUCCUGGGUCGUGGGUCCUCACGUCAGGAGGGGGCGACCUGUCCGGGUCGUCCUGGCCAAAGACAGGCCCACGCACCCUCGGAGGGACAGGCAGGGAGGAGGAUUUGCAGGGUGUUUUUUUCCUUGAGGAGCUCGAGCUGCUGACCUUAAGCUGCAGGGACCGCCCCUCAAUCCGAGGAACACCGCGGCACUUUGGGCGGACAGGGGGAAUUUACACAAUGUGAAAUGCACACGUCUGAAGGACACCAUCUAGGCACUCCAAUAAAUGUUUAUAUGUGUAAUGGAA